UUUUGUUUCUUCUCUGAGUGAGAAAGAGUUCUUUAGCUAGUUCAUCGGUGUGAACCGGAUUGUUGAUUUGGUGGUCAGCCAAUCAUCUUUGUGUGUUAUUUGGUGGUUAGCCAACGCACUACAUCCGUUCUUUGGUGGUUAGCCUUAGAUCGUGGGUAUAUCAAGAGUCAUUCCACACCUCUUGACGAUCCUAUCAAUCCAUCCCAGUUCCAGAAGUGUUUCGCCUUCUCGGUUCAUAUCAAACACCGGCCAAAGCCAUCCUUCCCGAUUUUGGGUCUAUCAUUAGGUAUUAAAAUUAUACACAUGAACCAACUCGGACCCGACAAGAUCUGACCCGGAACCAAUCCAGAAAAUCAUAGGUAUAUGGAUCUAAAUUUUCAGGACCCGAAAAAUCCAGAUCCAAAAUCCAAUUCGAACUCUAUCAAAAAACCCGGAUGUCCAGGCUUAAGAUGAAUGUUCUAUACAUUUAAAGAAUCGGAUUCCGUUAAAGUUCAACAUAAGUGUCGUUUAUGCUAUUUGAUGGACUUUUAAUUGCAUGAGUUGGUUUUCUUUUUUUCUUAGCCUUAUUUAUUUUUUUCGCUGUAAUAUGUUUGUAGAAUGGUACCAUGAAGAUGCAUAGAUAUACGCGUAUACGCAGGAAACUUUCCCAAACAUCCUUGUUCAAACAUGAUGUUGCUUCUUCCACAAGACACUGUUUAUUUCCUCACAAUUCAAAUUAAUAACAGCAACAGAAACAACUACAACAUGUUACUUUCGUAUGUUGCUACAGAAAUUGCCUCUCUUUUGUCCUUUCUGUUCUUGAACAAGUGAUGAUUUUUUUUCCAUGAUUAUAGUUUUGAUAUAACUCUACAGUCGGUUAUAAUAUCCUUGCUUUUGUAAAAUUUUAAAUGCUAAAAUAACAUAUUUAUCUCAA